ACAGUCUGAAGGCAACACCCUGACUUCCAUCUUGGGAGAGGAAAAGUUCUCUGGCAGAAAGGUCAUCCUCGCCGUCUGGUCUGAGGGCAUGACUAUGAUGUCCGCCUCCUCACUGCAGGAGGAGAGUGUGUGACCUCCUGAGCCUGGAGGAAUCAGUCUGGUCGGGGAACAGAAGAAAGACUUGUCAUCCGCAUCCCAAGUACUGCAAUGUUAUUCCUGGGGAAAAGGACGUGUGGAAUGCAGCGGAGGGGAGUGAAAAGGACGCAACAUUAGUGUCUCUCCAACAUCCUGCUCUAGUCUAUAGAAACUGCUCCAUGUCAGAUGCCACACCAUCGUCCCCUGCAGGUCAUAAUGACUGACACCCCAGGGAACAGCGGAAUUAUCUUGUGUUUUCUAACACCAUCCUGAUCUGGACAGACACUCAAGCCUCAGUGGUCAGAGCUCAUGACCUUCUCACUUUCAGGACGUAGCUUUGUGUUGUCUUCUUAGUCCACAAGGUGGCGCUGUCAGUCCGUUUACUUCCUCAGUCCUCAGUGUGCGUGCGCACGCGCAAUCGCGACACUACAUUCGCCCACCUUUUUCGUCGUCUGACACGGUAAGAACAUGCCACACUUGCUUACUACCCGGCACGGAAUUAAACAAUAACUCCCAAAAAAGAAAAAAAACACUCCUGCUUUAGUUUACAUGGAAUUCAAUUUGUGGCCACCUGUUUCCUGUUGUGAAGGAUAUAGAAUCUACCUACGGACUGGUUCUUUCAAAAUAAAAGCUUAAAGCCACUGGCGUGGUUCAAGGCAACGGAAGUCGAAGUGGAAUUGAAGUACAUACUACAGCUAUGUGACACUAUUAAAGUUCUGAUUGUCCUCAAAAUAAUGGACUCAAAACAGCACUUCAGUAGGUUCUUGUACUUCGGUUCUCUGGAUGAAGAAAACCCAGCAGACUGUGCAGUCUGCGCUAUUUUUUUUUCUACAAUCUAAUUUUGUCAAGUCGAUUGACAGUGACGGUGACAUUGAUCAGUAGAGGAAUUAUUAUUUUUAUUCUCUCCAAAAGGCCUGUCACCUGUUACACACCACCGGAAAAGUAUCCUGAGCUUCACCCUGUGUUCAUUUAUUGACAUUUCGCUUUGCAACAGUCUGUCAAGCCGAGCUUCUCCCCCGGUCUCAGAAGCAAUGUCUGCUCCUGACCUGAAAACCUGCAUUCUCCUCUCUUGGAACACAAUA